rnacentral:lncRNA from 10 species
GAAAAGCAUAAUAUCCUCUUGAAAUCUGUAAGAAAAGUAAUGCUUGUUUAAAGAUAGUGCCAAAUCUUGCUGAAGAAUGAUCUUGCAGAAAUCUGAUUGUGAAGAAGGAAAUCUAAAAAGGCCAAACAAGCUUCAGUAGAGAUAACACCAGGAAAGCAGUUACUCAAACAAGACUGAAAGAGAAGCAAUCAAUCAAUAAGAACAAGUCCCAGGACUUCAGACUAGGCUCAGAAUCUAUGACACAUUCUGAAAUGAGAAAAGAACAGAGCCAUGAGGACCAAGGACACAUAAUGGAUACACGGAUGAGGAAGAACAAGCAAGCAGGCAGAAAAGUCACUCUAAUAGAGUAAAGAAUUGAAGAAAAGUUAAGAGCUGCCGAAAUGCACAGAGGUGAAAAUGACAAACCAAAUGGAAUUUCUCUUCAGAGUUCAGAAUUUUCAGAUACUAAGGAGGAAGAAAGGAUCCACUACUUCUUGUUCUUAUGAAUGACUCUAGAAAAAUCAGAAUCAAGUUGUGGGUGGAAAAAUCAACGUGGCCUUUGAGUUCAGUUGUUAUAAACCAUUGUGACUAUUGUUGGUCAAAGUAUUGGUACUUAUAUUGUUAGUAAUUGCAUCAUAAUUACAUUACCAGUGUUGGAAAACUAAUGAAGAAAACACUGUAAUUGCUACUCAGCAAAUGUGAAUAAAAGGUGUUUGCGUUAUUAGGAUGUCUGUUAAGUAAUCAUUUAAUAUUAUUAUAUUGGUAAUGGUUGUAUGUGUGAUGCUAUGCCCAGAAUAUGAAGUAUCUGUUUUUGAAAUUCACUUUAUUUAAAAGAUAAGCAGCUGACUGGGCACGGUGCCUCAUGCCUGUAAUCCUAGCACCUUGGGAGGCUGAGGCAGGUGGAUCACCUAAGGUCAGGAGUUCAACAACACCAGCCUGACCAACAUGGUGAAACCCCAUCUCUACUAAAAAUACAAAAAUCAGCCGGGUCUCAUGGCAGGCACCUGUAAUCCCAUCUACUGAGGCAGGAGAAUUGCUUGACCCAGGAGGCAGAGGUUGCAGUGAGCCAAGAUCACGCCAUUGCACUCCAGCCUGGGGGACAGAGCAAGACUCUAUCUC